UGAGGAAUCUUGCACAAUGGGCGAAAGCCUGAUGCAGCGACGCCGCGUGGAGGAUGAAGGUCUUCGGAUUGUAAACUUCUGUUAAGUGGGAAGAAAGACGCAAUUCUAAUAAAGUUGCGGGAUGACGGUACCAUUAGAGAAAGCACCGGCUAACUUCGUGCCAGCAGCCGCGGUAAUACGAAGGGUGCAAGCGUUAUUCGGAAUGAUUGGGCGUAAAGGGUGCGCAGACGGUUUGUUAAGUCAACUGUUAAAUUUCCCAGCCUAACUGGGAGCUCGCAACAGAAACUGGCGAACUAGAGGAUGGAAGAGAGAAGUGGAAUUCUCGGAGUAGCGGUAAAAUGCGUAGAUCUCGAGAGGAACACCGAUGGCGAAGGCAGCUUCUUGGUCCAUUUCUGACGUUCAGGCACGAAAGCGUGGGGAGCAAACAGGAUUAGAUACCCCGGUAGUCC
rnacentral:rRNA from 1 species